AGCGAGAUGGCGCAGCUGGUAGCGCGCUGGGCUCAUAUUUCCCGCGUUCACGCAUGGAAUUGCAACCCAGAGGUCGUCGGAUCGAAACUGACUCUCGCUA